rnacentral:misc_RNA from 1 species
GAUGAAGAACGUAGCGAAAUGCGAUAAGUAGUGUGAAUUGCAGAAUUCAGUGAAUCAUCGAAUCUUUGAACGCACAUUGCGCCCUUUGGUAUUCCAAAGGGCAUGCCUGUUCGAGCGUCAUUUGUACCCUCAAGCUUUGCUUGGUGUUGGGCGUCUUGUCUCUAGCUUUGCUGGAGACUCGCCUUAAAGUAAUUGGCAGCCGGCCUACUGGUUUCGGAGCGCAGCACAAGUCGCACUCUCUAUCAGCGAAGGUCUAGCAUCCAUUAAGCCUUUUUUUCAACUUUUGACCUCGGAUCAGGUAGGGAUACCCGCUGAACUUAAGCAUAUCAAUAAGCGGAGGA